rnacentral:rRNA from 1 species
UGAGGAAUAUUGCUCAAUGGGAGAAAUCCUGAAGCAGCAACGCCGCGUGGAGGAUGAAGGGUCUAUGACUUGUAAACUCCUGUAAAGAAGGAAAAAAUUCCCAUUAGAUGGGAGAUGAUGGUACUUCUGGAGUAAGCCCCGGCUAACUACGUGCCAGCAGCCGCGGUAAUACGUAGGGGGCAAGCGUUGUCCGGAUUUACUGGGUGUAAAGGGUGCUCAGGCGGAUUUGUAAGUCAGAGGUGAAAUCUUACAGCUUAACUGUGAAACUGCCUUUGAUACUGCAAGCCUAGAGUAUGGAAGAGNGUGAUGGAAUAUCUGGUGUAGCAGUGAAAUGCGUAGAUAUCAGAUAGAACACCAAUGGCGAAGGCAGUCACUUGGUCCAUUACUGACGCUAAAGCACGAAAGCGUGGGUAGCAAACA